GAAAACUUGGAGAGGUCAAACAUGUUCUUGUAGCCUAUAAACUUACUGUGUGUGUAAUAAGAGUGUUUCUGUAGCAUGGUGACUAAAGCACUGCUCUGAAGACUUUUUGACAUCUCAAGCUCUCCAGGGUCUGUGUUCUGUUGAAAGCUGCAUCAGACUUAAAAACCUGCAUACCGUGGACUAGGCAGCCACUAGAGGGGAAUCGAGAACUAUUCUGUGCAUGAAUGGGUUACAUAUUUAAUGACUGUAUUGAGCACCUGCUCCUGCCCUUCUAGAUGAAAAGCCUAGAUAGAGACAAGGAAGAAAUCAACACCUCAGAGAGCUGUUUGGAGACUGUAGGAAGGAUUGAUGAUGAUGGAUGCUGAAAUCCAAACAGACACCAAAUAGCUCGAAGUUACCAAAUAGCUAAGUAGUUACUUAUAUUGCAAAUUUCUUGAUUAUUGUUUCCCUAUAAUUUCUUACAGAAUUGUGGCAAUGUUUGAAAUGGAGGUGAUUAAGAAGCCAAAAAUUAACAUUCCUCCAGAGUACAAAUUCCAUAAAUUAUUAGAUUAAACCAA